UUAAGCGACUAAGCGUACACGGUGGAUGCCCUGGCAGUCAGAGGCGAUGAAGGACGUGCUAAUCUGCGAAAAGCGUCGGUAAGGUGAUAUGAACCGUUAUAGCCGGCGAUGUCCGAAUGGGGAAACCCAGUGCAAUUCGUUGCACUAUCGUUAACUGAAUACAUAGGUUAACGAGGCGAACCGGGGGAACUGAAACAUCUAAGUACCCCGAGGAAAAGAAAUCAACCGAGAUUCCCCCAGUAGCGGCGAGCGAACGGGGAGCAGCCCAGAGUCUGAAUCAGCUUGUGUGUUAGUGGAACGGUCUGGAAAGUCCGACGGUACAGGGUGAUAGUCCCGUACACCAAAAUGCACAGGUUGUGAACUCGAAGAGUAGGGCGGGACACGUGGUAUCCUGUCUGAAUAUGGGGGGACCAUCCUCCAAGGCUAAAUACUCCUGACUGACCGAUAGUGAACCAGUACCGUGAGGGAAAGGCGAAAAGAACCCCGGCGAGGGGAGUGAAAAAGAACCUGAAACCGUGUACGUACAAGCAGUGGGAGCACCUUCGGGUGUGACUGCGUACCUUUUGUAUAAUGGGUCAGCGACUUAUAUUCUGUAGCAAGGUUAACCGUAUAGGGGAGCCGCAGGGAAACCGAGUCUUAACUGGGCGUUAAGUUGCAGGGUAUAGACCCGAAACCCGGUGAUCUAGCCAUGGGCAGGUUGAAGGUUGGGUAACACUAACUGGAGGACCGAACCGACUAAUGUUGAAAAAUUAGCGGAUGACUUGUGGCUGGGGGUGAAAGGCCAAUCAAACCGGGAGAUAGCUGGUUCUCCCCGAAAGCUAUUUAGGUAGCGCCUCGUGAAUUCAUCUUCGGGGGUAGAGCACUGUUUCGGCUAGGGGGUCAUCCCGACUUACCAACCCGAUGCAAACUACGAAUACCGAAGAAUGUUAUCACGGGAGACACACGGCGGGUGCUAACGUCCGUCGUGAAGAGGGAAACAACCCAGACCGCCAGCUAAGGUCCCAAAGUCAUGGUUAAGUGGGAAACGAUGUGGGAAGGCACAGACAGCCAGGAUGUUGGCUUAGAAGCAGCCAUCAUUUAAAGAAAGCGUAAUAGCUCACUGGUCGAGUCGGCCUGCGCGGAAGAUGUAACGGGGCUAAACCAUGCACCGAAGCUGCGGCAGCGACACUAUGUGUUGUUGGGUAGGGGAGCGUUCUGUAAGCCUGCGAAGGUGUGCUGUGAGGCAUGCUGGAGGUAUCAGAAGUGCGAAUGCUGACAUAAGUAACGAUAAAGCGGGUGAAAAGCCCGCUCGCCGGAAGACCAAGGGUUCCUGUCCAACGUUAAUCGGGGCAGGGUGAGUCGACCCCUAAGGCGAGGCCGAAAGGCGUAGUCGAUGGGAAACAGGUUAAUAUUCCUGUACUUGGUGUUACUGCGAAGGGGGGACGGAGAAGGCUAUGUUAGCCGGGCGACGGUUGUCCCGGUUUAAGCAUGUAGGCUGGUUGUCCAGGCAAAUCCGGAUAAUCAAGGCUGAGGUGUGAUGACGAGGCACUACGGUGCUGAAGUAACAAAUGCCCUGCUUCCAGGAAAAGCCUCUAAGCAUCAGGUAACAUCAAAUCGUACCCCAAACCGACACAGGUGGUCAGGUAGAGAAUACCAAGGCGCUUGAGAGAACUCGGGUGAAGGAACUAGGCAAAAUGGUGCCGUAACUUCGGGAGAAGGCACGCUGGUGUGUAGGUGAAGCCCCUGCGGGUGGAGCUGAGACCAGUCGAAGAUACCAGCUGGCUGCAACUGUUUAUUAAAAACACAGCACUGUGCAAACACGAAAGUGGACGUAUACGGUGUGACGCCUGCCCGGUGCCGGAAGGUUAAUUGAUGGGGUUAUCCGUAAGGAGAAGCUCUUGAUCGAAGCCCCGGUAAACGGCGGCCGUAACUAUAACGGUCCUAAGGUAGCGAAAUUCCUUGUCGGGUAAGUUCCGACCUGCACGAAUGGCGUAAUGAUGGCCAGGCUGUCUCCACCCGAGACUCAGUGAAAUUGAACUCGCUGUGAAGAUGCAGUGUACCCGCGGCAAGACGGAAAGACCCCGUGAACCUUUACUAUAGCUUGACACUGAACAUUGAGCCUUGAUGUGUAGGAUAGGUGGGAGGCUUUGAAGCGUGGACGCCAGUCUGCGUGGAGCCAACCUUGAAAUACCACCCUUUAAUGUUUGAUGUUCUAACGUUGGCCCCUUACCGGGGUUGCGGACAGUGUCUGGUGGGUAGUUUGACUGGGGCGGUCUCCUCCCAAAGCGUAACGGAGGAGCACGAAGGUUAGCUAAUCCUGGUCGGACAUCAGGAGGUUAGUGCAAUGGCAUAAGCUAGCUUGACUGCGAGCGUGACGGCGCGAGCAGGUGCGAAAGCAGGUCAUAGUGAUCCGGUGGUUCUGAAUGGAAGGGCCAUCGCUCAACGGAUAAAAGGUACUCCGGGGAUAACAGGCUGAUACCGCCCAAGAGUUCAUAUCGACGGCGGUGUUUGGCACCUCGAUGUCGGCUCAUCACAUCCUGGGGCUGAAGUAGGUCCCAAGGGUAUGGCUGUUCGCCAUUUAAAGUGGUACGCGAGCUGGGUUUAGAACGUCGUGAGACAGUUCGGUCCCUAUCUGCCGUGGGCGCUGGAGAAUUGAGGGGGGCUGCUCCUAGUACGAGAGGACCGGAGUGGACGCAUCACUGGUGUUCGGGUUGUCAUGCCAAUGGCACUGCCCGGUAGCUAAAUGCGGAAGAGAUAAGUGCUGAAAGCAUCUAAGCACGAAACUUGCCCCGAGAUGAGUUCUCCCUGAGACUUUAAGUCUCCUGAAGGAACGUUGAAGACGACGACGUUGAUAGGCCGGGUGUGUAAGCGCAGCGAUGCGUUGAGCUAACCGGUACUAAUGAACCGUGAGGCUUAACCUU
rnacentral:rRNA from 1 species